rnacentral:rRNA from 1 species
GAUUAUGCUCAGGAUGAACGCUAGCUACAGGCUUAACACAUGCAAGUCGAGGGGGCAGCAUUGGAGUAGCAAUACUCAGAUGGCGACCGGCGCACGGGUGAGUAACACGUAUCCAACCUGCCGCUUACUCGGGGAUAGCCUUUCGAAAGAAAGAUUAAUACCCGAUGGUAUAAAGAGUUCGCAUGUUCUCUUUAUUAAAGAAUUUCGGUAAGCGAUGGGGAUGCGUUCCAUUAGAUAGUUGGCGGGGUAACGGCCCACCAAGUCUACGAUGGAUAGGGGGUUCUGAGAGGAAGGUCCCCCACAUUGGAACUGAGACACGGUCCAAACUCCUACGGGAGGCAGCAGUGAGGAAUAUUGGUCAAUGGACGAGAGUCUGAACCAGCCAAAAGUAGCGUGAAGGAUGACUGCCCUAUGGGUUGUAAACUUCUUUUAUAAGGGAAUAAAGUGAGGGACGUGUCCCUUUUUGUAUGUACCUUAUGAAUAAGGAUCGGCUAACUCCGUGCCAGCCGCCGC